AGAGUUUGAUCCUGGCUCAGGACGAACGCUUGCGGCGUGCCUAAUGUAUGCAAGUCGAGCGGGGAAGCAGCUUCGGCUGUUCUCCUAGCGGCGAACGGUUGAGUAACACGUAGGCAACCUGCCCCAGAGUGGGGGAUAACUCGCGGAAACGCGGGCUAAUACCGCAUGUGGCCCGGCCUCGCAUGGGACCGGUGCUAAAGGAGCAAUUCGCUCUGGGAGGGGCCUGCGGCCUAUCAGCUUGUUGGUGAGGUAACGGCUCACCAAGGCGACGACGGGUAGCUGGUCUGAGAGGAUGGUCAGCCAGACAGGGACUGAGACACGGCCCUGACUCCUUUGGGGGGCAGCAAUGAGGGAUAUUGCACAAUGGGCGAAAGCCUGAUGCAGCGACGCCGCGUGGGCGACGAAGUCUUUCGGGAUGUAAAGCCCUUUUCUGGGGGACGAUACGGACGGUACCCCAGGAAGAAGCCCCGGCUAACUACGUGCCAGCAGCCGCGGUAAUACGUAGGGGGCGAGCGUUGUCCGGAUUUACUGGGCGUAAAGCGCGUGUAGGCGGUUUGCCAAGUCCGGGGUGAAAGGCGGGGGCUCAACCCCCGAGCUGCGCUGGAAACUGGCAGACUUGAGUGUCGGAGAGGGGAGUGGAAUUCUCGGUGUAGCGGUGAAAUGCGUAGAGAUCGAGAGGUACACCCGUGGCGAAGGCGGCUCCCUGGCCGAACACUGACGCUGAGACGCGAAAGCGCGGGGAGCGAACGGGAUUAGAUACCCCGGUAGUCCGCGCCGUAAACGAUGGUCACUAGGUGUACGCGGUAUCGACCCCGCGUGUGCCGCAGCUAACGCAAUAAGUGACCCGCCUGGGGAGUACGGCCGCAAGGUUGAAACUCAAAGGAAUUGACGGGGGCCCGCACAAGCGGUGGAGCAUGGGGAUUAAUUCGUCAUUAACCGAAGAACCUUACCAGGGCUUGACAUCCCAGGAACCCCCGAGAAACCGGGGGGUGCCUCGCAAGAGGAGCCUGGAGACAGGUGUUGCAUGGCUGUCGUCAGCUCGUGUCGUGAGAUGUUGGGUUAAGUCCCGCAACGAGCGCAACCCUCACCCAAUGUUGCCAGCGUAAAGUCGGGCACUCUUUGGGAACUGCCCGUGUAAGCGGGAGGAAGGUGGGGAUGACGUCAAGUCAGCAUGGCCCUUACGUCCUGGGCUUCACCCAUGCUACAAUGGGCGUGACAGAGGGCCGCAAACCCGCGAGGGGGAGCCAAUCCCAGAAACACGCUCUCAGUUCGGAUUGCAGGCUGCAACUCGCCUGCAUGAAGUCGGAAUCGCUAGUAACCGCCGGUCAGCCAAACGGCGGUGAAUACGUUCCCGGGCCUUGUACACACCGCCCGUCACGUCACCUGAGUCUGCUGCACCCGAAGUCGCUGGCCCAACCGCAAGGGGGGAGGCGCCGAAGGUGUGGCCGGUAAGGGGGACGAAGUCGUAACAAGGUAACCGU
rnacentral:rRNA from 1 species